rnacentral:rRNA from 1 species
CAAUAGCGUAUAUUUAAGUUGUUGCAGUUAAAAAGCUCGUAGUUGGAUUUCGGAUGGGAUUUGCCGGUCCGUCGUUACGAUGUGCACUGGCCAGUCCUAUCUUGUUGUCGGGGACUAGCUCCUUGGAUUCACUUCCCGGGACUAGGAGCUGACGAGGUUACUUUGAGUAAAUUAGAGUGUUCAAAGCAAGCCUACGCUCUGAAUACAUUAGCAUGGAAUAACACGAUAGGACUCUGGCUUAUCUUGUUGGUCUGUGAGACCAGAGUAAUGAUUAAGAGGGACAGUCGGGGACAUUCGUAUUUCAUUGUCAGAGGUGAAAUUCUUGGAUUUAUGAAAGACGAACUUCUGCGAAAGCAUUUGUCAAGGAUGUUUUCAUUAA